GGUGGCAGGAGCGGAAGCAGCAGCUGUAGAAGCAGAAGCGGAGUUUGCCGAGACAGGCAUGGUGAGAGUUCUCUGAGCCCUAGCUAGGUUUCGGAUGGAGGCUUCCCUGGGCGGGACCACUGGAGAAGGAUCGUGGAUGUCAGGCUUGCGGAAGAACGCUUCUGAUUUCAUGUACAAGGGAAGGUUGCAGUAAUCACCUGCAGGGAACAAAGACAGAGGAUCAGAGAGGCAAGAUCCCUGUUCUGUAUGUGCACCACUGUUUGAUACUCAUCUCUGAAGAUAAAUAAAGAACCCCAUGCUAUGAAGAGAGGAAGUAUCUACCAACCAUUUGGCUGCUCUCCCUGCCCAGUAAUGCACUCGAGCUUGGUGAGAGGUGGAAAUAGAGUUGAGGGGGGAGCUGUGGCAAUUGACCCUAUGCUGUGAGGAUCUGAGAUAAGUUAAGUUAAGUUGAACUAUGAUAUGUUGACUGGACUUCAGCUGUGCUAUUCUUCUAGG